AUUGAACGCUGGCGGCAUGCCUUACACAUGCAAGUCGAACGGCAGCACGGGGCAACCUGGUGGCGAGUGGCGAACGGGUGAGUAAUGCAUCGGAACGUACCUUUCAGUGGGGGAUAACGUAGCGAAAGUUACGCUAAUACCGCAUAUUCUGUGAGCAGGAAAGCAGGGGAUCGCAAGACCUUGCGCUGAUUGAGCGGCCGAUGUCAGAUUAGCUAGUUGGUGAGGUAAAGGCUCACCAAGGCGACGAUCUGUAGCGGGUCGGAGAGGAUGAUCCGCCACACUGGAACUGAGACACGGUCCAGAUUCAUACGGGAGGCAGCAGUGGGGAAUUUGGACAAUGGGGGCAACCCUGAUCCAGCCAUGCCGCGUGAGUGAAGAAGGCCUUCGGGUUGUAAAGCUCUUUCGGCCGGGAAGAAAUCGCACGGGCUAAUACCCUGUGUGGAUGACGGUACCGGAAUAAGAAGCACCGGCUAACUACGUGCCAGCCGCCGCGGUAAUAC
rnacentral:rRNA from 1 species